rnacentral:rRNA from 1 species
GGCCUGCGCGGAAGAUGUAACGGGGCUCAAAUAUAGCACCGAAGCUGCGGCAUCAGACGUAAGUCUGUUGGGUAGGGGAGCGUUCUGUAAGCGGAUGAAGGUGGCUCGAGAGGGCUGCUGGACGUAUCAGAAGUGCGAAUGCUGACAUAAGUAACGAUAAAACGGGUGAAAAACCCGUUCGCCGGAAGACCAAGGGUUCCUGUCCAACGUUAAUCGGGGCAGGGUGAGUCGACCCCUAAGGCGAGGCCGAAAGGCGUAGUCGAUGGGAAACAGGUUAAUAUUCCUGUACUUGGUGUUACUGCGAAGGGGGGACGGAGAAGGCUAUGUUGGCCGGGCGACGGUUGUCCCGGUUUAAGCGUGUAGGCUGGUUUUCCAGGCAAAUCCGGAAAAUCAAGGCUGAGGCGUGAUGACGAGGCACUACGGUGCUGAAGCAACAAAUGCCCUGCUUCCAGGAAAAGCCUCUAAGCAUCAGGUAACAUCAAAUCGUACCCCAAACCGACACAGGUGGUCAGGUAGAGAAUACCAAGGCGCUUGAGAGAACUCGGGUGAAGGAACUAGGCAAAAUGGUGCCGUAACUUCGGGAGAAGGCACGCUGAUAUGUAGGUGAAGCGACUUGCUCGUGGAGCUGAAAUCAGUCGAAGAUACCAGCUGGCUGCAACUGUUUAUUAAAAACACAGCACUGUGCAAACACGAAAGUGGACGUAUACGGUGUGACGCCUGCCCGGUGCCGGAAGGUUAAUUGAUGGGGUUAGCGGUAACGCGAAGCUCUUGAUCGAAGCCCCGGUAAACGGCGGCCGUAACUAUAACGGUCCUAAGGUAGCGAAAUUCCUUGUCGGGUAAGUUCCGACCUGCACGAAUGGCGUAAUGAUGGCCAGGCUGUCUCCACCCGAGACUCAGUGAAAUUGAACUCGCUGUGAAGAUGCAGUGUACCCGCGGCAAGACGGAAAGACCCCGUGAACCUUUACUAUAGCUUGACACUGAACAUUGAGCCUUGAUGUGUAGGAUAGGUGGGAGGCUUUGAAGUGUGGACGCCAGUCUGCAUGGAGCCGACCUUGAAAUACCACCCUUUAAUGUUUGAUGUUCUAACGUUGGCCCGUAAUCCGGGUUGCGGACAGUGUCUGGUGGGUAGUUUGACUGGGGCGGUCUCCUCCUAAAGAGUAACGGAGGAGCACGAAGGUUGGCUAAUCCUGGUCGGACAUCAGGAGGUUAGUGCAAUGGCAUAAGCCAGCUUGACUGCGAGCGUGACGGCGCGAGCAGGUGCGAAAGCAGGUCAUAGUGAUCCGGUGGUUCUGAAUGGAAGGGCCAUCGCUCAACGGAUAAAAGGUACUCCGGGGAUAACAGGCUGAUACCGCCCAAGAGUUCAUAUCGACGGCGGUGUUUGGCAC